AAUGCUGAAUGCCUGCUGGCAGAAUGCGAGCUGCACUUCGCCAUGAGUUUUACAAGCAUGAAAGGCGUGUGCACCAGCAUACUGGAGGGCUUCGGCAAGGAUCACGGGAUACGCCAAGCAACACUGAUGGACGUUCAAGCCUUUCUGCGGUCAAGAUCAUCCCGCGAUGAUGCUUUGAGCACGGAAGACGUUCCGACAGUUGAGAGAGGAUGCCCAGGACCGAAA